rnacentral:rRNA from 1 species
GGAUCCAGACUUUGAUCAUGGCUCAGGAUGAACGCUAGCUACAGGCUUAACACAUGCAAGUCGAGGGGAAACGAUAUUGGAAGCUUGCUUCCGAUAGGCGUCGACCGGCGCACGGGUGAGUAACGCGUAUCCAACCUGCCCACCACUUGGGGAUAACCUUGCGAAAGUAAGACUAAUACCCAAUGAUAUCUCUAGAAGACAUCUGAAAGAGAUUAAAGAUUUAUCGGUGAUGGAUGGGGAUGCGUCUGAUUAGCUUGUUGGCGGGGUAACGGCCCACCAAGGCGACGAUCAGUAGGGGUUCUGAGAGGAAGGUCCCCCACAUUGGAACUGAGACACGGUCCAAACUCCUACGGGAGGCAGCAGUGAGGAAUAUUGGUCAAUGGGCGAGAGCCUGAACCAGCCAAGUAGCGUGCAGGAUGACGGCCCUAUGGGUUGUAAACUGCUUUUAUAAGGGAAUAAAGUGGGAGUCGUGACUCCUUUUGCAUGUACCUUAUGAAUAAGGACCGGCUAAUUCCGUGCCAGCAGCCGCGGUAAUACGGAAGGUCCGGGCGUUAUCCGGAUUUAUUGGGUUUAAAGGGAGCGUAGGCCGGAGAUUAAGCGUGUUGUGAAAUGUAGACGCUCAACGUCUGCACUGCAGCGCGAACUGGUUUCCUUGAGUACGCACAAAGUGGGCGGAAUUCGUGGUGUAGCGGUGAAAUGCUUAGAUAUCACGAAGAACUCCGAUUGCGAAGGCAGCUCACUGGAGCGCAACUGACGCUGAAGCUCGAAAGUGCGGGUAUCGAACAGGAUUAGAUACCCUGGUAGUCCGCACGGUAAACGAUGGAUGCCCGCUGUUGGUCUGAAUAGGUCAGCGGCCAAGCGAAAGCAUUAAGCAUCCCACCUGGGGAGUACGCCGGCAACGGUGCAACUCAAAGGAAUUGACGG